rnacentral:rRNA from 1 species
GAUGAACGCUGGCGGCGUGCCUAAUACAUGCAAGUCGAGCGAAUGGAUUAAGAGCUUGCUCUUAUGAAGUUAGCGGCGGACGGGUGAGUAACACGUGGGUAACCUGCCCAUAAGACUGGGAUAACUCCGGGAAACCGGGGCUAAUACCGGAUAACAUUUUGAACCGCAUGGUUCGAAAUUGAAAGGCGGCUCCGUCUGUCACUUAUGGAUGGAUCCGGGUGGCAUUAGCUAGUUGGUGAGGGAACGGCUCACCAAGGAAACGAUGCGUAGCCGACCUGAGAGGGUGAUCGGCCACACUGGGACUGAGACACGGCCCAGACUCCUACGGGAGGCAGCAGUAGGGAAUCUUCCGCAAUGGACGAAAGUCUGACGGAGCAACGCCGCGUGAGUGAUGAAGGCUUUCGGGUCGUAAAACUCUGUUGUUAGGGAAGAACAAGUGCUAGUUGAAUAAGCUGGCACCUUGACGGUACCUAACCAGAAAGCCACGGCUAACUACGUGCCAGCCGCCGCCGUAA